GCGGGGACAGCGCUUGGUGGCCCUGCCCGACAAGCCGCCACCUCCCCCCGAGCCCCUUGGCUCCAGCCCCCGGGACCAGAGCGGGAUGAGGGGGUGCUGCUGCUGCUGCUGCUGCUGCUGCUGCUCUCCGAAGGGUUAAAAGCCUUCGAGCCCCAUGCGCAGGAGGCGUCUGGGCAGUGUGGGGAGAAAUGCAGAAAAACUGCAGGCCACUGAUUGCGGGUGUAGUUCUCUUGGAUGACUCCUUGUGGGAAGAAAUAUCUGGGAAGCCACGGUUUCAAUACAGUGGCGAAGACUAUGGAAGUCAUUGCAAUCAAUUGGCAGAGAGAUGGCAAAACUGCAGCUUUGCCUGGAGAAGAGGGAUUUCCACAAGUUCUUUUCCCUUCUGGACUGGUGUUGACCGAUUUCUUCCACGUAUUGGAGUAGCUGUUUUCCAGUUCUAGUGAGUGACUCUGGUUUCUGGAGAAAGUAAGCCACCAGCAGAUCACCAGAACAGCAGAGAAAUUCAUAGUUGUCUGAGUCACACUGGCUGUAGCAGAUUUGCUGUUUCUUCAGUCCCAGUUUCUUUUGUGGAUUGAAACAUCAGAAAAAGAGGUAGGCAGAGUGAAAAUGGAUGUCAACCUGACUGCUUACCACAAACUUUCUCCUGCUUUUCAUACCAGAUCCAGCCCUUUCUGUAUGUCCAGAAGGCAUAUUGAGGCACUACAGGCAUUUAGCUGGGGAAAUCUUGAGUUGCUGGCUAACCAUUUUGGACACCCUUAGUCACUGAAGAAAUGCAGGUGCCAUGAAGGGAUGAUGAAGCCCACCCAAGAAUCCAAAAGUGUGUCAAACAGUUAAUACUGAGUCUUGCAUGAUAACCUACAAUUAGCAUGCAAUGCCCAAGGCACUUGCACACUGACAACAUGGUUUAAUCCAGUAAUAAAGUAGGCUAAAAUGAUUAUCAUAGUAGCUAAUAGUAUUUUUGACAUAAGUGAAACUGUAGAAAAGAGGCUGCACAAAUAUAUUGAUUUCAGCAGUGCCUCUCUGACAAGUCUGUAUAGAUUUUGUUAUUUAUGGUUCAUUUUUUCCAAAAAGAACCAAGGCCUGCAAAUGUAGAAAUCCCUGGUUGUAUGAAAUGGCUGUGCAUGAGAAUGAGGGAUUUGCAUGUUCAACUGCCCAUAUUUGUAUCCUCCUAUCCAGUUUGCAUAUGCAAAGGCAAAGGUUGUUAUAUUUAUCAGUGCAUAAAUAAAAGGAGGAGAGAUAAAUGACCUGGUUUGCAGAGGUGCUGAGCACAUGCACUUUCCAUUUAUUUCAACUGGAGUGUGAAAAACAGGCCCUAAGUGACUGGCUCAAGCUCACACAAUGCAUGAUUGUCAGUGCCAGGAAGAAAACCCAGAAAUCCUUCCAGUCUAAUCCUCCAGUUUAAAUCCUCCCCAGUCUAAACUCUAGACACAGUCUCUCCAAGAAAUAAAAAAAAAAAUGGAAAAAAAAAUCCAUGCAAUAGCCUGAUCACACUCUUAUUCCUACCUUAAUUUUCUAAGAGAAUAAAAAAAAAUGGGACGUGAAAAACUUCUGCAUAAUGUUUAAUGACUAGCAAAUAAUGCCAAGUAGGGCAACUAAAUAUGUGUGAAGCAUUGCUCACGCACCCAUCAACUUGCAUGUGUGUCACAGAUGGUUUUAGUGAAGAGCCAAAAAGAGAAGGAGAGAAAGGAAAAGGAAAGCAAGUCCAGAUAAAGAGUAGCUAGAAAGAGAGACAAAGACAUUUUCUGCUGUUAAAAAAAAAAAAAAAUCCCUUAAAAAUGCUACAAAAACUAAUGAUAAAAAAAAACAUAGAACCAUUCCAUCUCCUUGAUAACGUGUAGGCU